AACGAACGCUGGCGGCAGGCCUAACACAUGCAAGUCGAACGCUGUAGCAAUACAGAGUGGCAGACGGGUGAGUAACGCGUGGGAACCUUCACAAUGGUACGGAAUAGCUCAGGGAAACUUGAGGUAAUACCGUAUAAGCCCCUAGGGGGAAAGAUUUAUCGCCAUUGGAUGGGCCUGCGUCGGAUUAGCUAGUUGGUAGGGUAAUGGCCUACCAAGGCGACGAUCCGUAGCUGGUUUGAGAGAAUGACCAGCCACACUGGGACUGAGACACGGCCCAGACUCCUACGGGAGGCAGCAGUGGGGAAUCUUGGACAAUGGGCGAAAGCCUGAUCCAGCCAUGCCGCGUGAGUGACGAAGGCCUUAGGGUUGUAAAGCUCUUUUGCCGGGGACGAUAAUGACGGUACCCGGAGAAUAAGUCCCGGCUAACUUCGUGCCAGCCGCCGCUGUAAGAC
rnacentral:rRNA from 1 species